rnacentral:piRNA from 1 species
UGCAUCCCAGUAGUUUGCCUUUUUUUCGCAGU